rnacentral:rRNA from 1 species
AUGUGGACCCGUCUUCGUGAGCGCUAUCAGCCCUCUGGUGAUGCCUUAUACCUCUCUGUGAUCCGUCAGGAGCAUGCUCUUCAGCAGGGUGACUCCACUGUUGAUGACUUCUAUGCACAGAGUUCUGCUAUCUGGCGCCAGCUUGAUUCUCUCCGUAGUGCUGGGUGUCGUACCUGCCCCUGUUGCCAGGCUGUCCAGGCCAAUUUGGAGUUUCAUCGCGUCUAUGAGUUCUUGUCUCGGCUCCGUAAGGAGUUUAAGCCCCGGCGUGCUCAGCUGUUUGCUCGUGGCCAUAUUUCUCUCAUGGAGGCGCUUUCUGAGAUUCGUGCUGAGGAGACUCGCUUACGUGGUGCUGGUUUGCUAGAGGUUCCCUCUGUGCUUGCUACUCGUGCUCCCACGCCACUUGCUCCACUGACCCCUUCUCGCUCGAGUGCUCCGCCGCUCUUGCCCACUCCUUCUGGAGGUUCAGGUCGCCCCCGUCCACAUUGCGCCUAUUGCAACAAUGAUGGUCAUCUUGAGUCUCAGUGCUACACGAAGAAGAAACACCUGCGUAAGGCUCGAUCAUCACCUUCCGGAACUUCGUCA